GACGAACGCUGGCGGCGUGCUUAACACAUGCAAGUCGAACGGAAAGGCCCCAGCUUGCUGGGGUACUCGAGUGGCGAACGGGUGAGUAACACGUGGGUGAUCUGCCCUGCACUUCGGGAUAAGCCUGGGAAACUGGGUCUAAUACCGGAUAGGACCAUCGUUUAGUGUCGGUGGUGGAAAGUUCUUCGGUGCAGGAUGAGCCCGCGGCCUAUCAGCUUGUUGGUGGGGUAAUGGCCUACCAAGGCGUCGACGGGUAGCCGGCCUGGGAGGGUGGACGGCCACAUUGGGACUGAGACACGGCCCAGACUCCUACGGGAGGCAGCAGUGGGGAAUAUUGCACAAUGGGCGCAAGCCUGAUGCAGCGACGCCGCGUGGGGGAUGACGGCCUUCGGGUUGUAAACUCCUUUCAACCAUGACGAAGCUUUUGUGACGGUAGUGGUAGAAGAAGCACCGGCUAACUACGUGCCAGCCGCCGCUGUAA
rnacentral:rRNA from 1 species